rnacentral:piRNA from 1 species
AAGCUAAAGACUCAGUCAGGUA